GAUGAACGCUAGCGGCAGGCUUAAUACAUGCAAGUCGAGGGACAGCACAGGUAGCAAUACUGGGUGGUAACCGGCAAACGGGUGCGGAACACGUACACAACCUUCCUUUAAGUGGGGGAUAGCCCAGAGAAAUUUGGAUUAAUACCCCGUAAUAUAGUUGAAUGGCAUCAUUUGAUUAUUAUAGCUACGGCGCUUAAUGAUGGGUGUGCGGCUGAUUAGAUAGUUGGCGGGGUAACGGCCCACCAAGUCUACGAUCAGUAGCUGAUGUGAGAGCAUGAUCAGCCACACGGGCACUGAGACACGGGCCCGACUCCUACGGGAGGCAGCAGUAAGGAAUAUUGGUCAAUGGAGGCAAGUCUGAACCAGCCAUGCCGCGUGAAGGAUUAAGGUCCUCUGGAUUGUAAACUUCUUUUAUUUGGGACGAAAAAGGGCCUUUCUAGGUCAACUGACGGUACCAGAUGAAUAAGCACCAGCUAACUCCGUGACAGCCGCCGCCGUAAUAC
rnacentral:rRNA from 1 species